rnacentral:rRNA from 1 species
UACGUAGGAGGCAAGCGUUGUCCGGAUUUACUGGGCGUAAAGCGCGCGCAGGCGGCAUGGCAAGUAAGGUGUGAAAUCUCCCUGCCUAACGGGGAGGGUGCAUUUUAGACUGCCAAGCUAGAGGACGGUAGAGGGGGGUAGAAUUGCUGGUGUAGCGGUGAAAUGCGUAGAGAUCGGCAGGAACACCCAGGGGGAAACCAGUGGACUGGCACGGUGCUGACGCUCAGGUGCGAAAGCGUGGGGAGCGAACCGG